rnacentral:rRNA from 1 species
CCUACGGGAGGCUGCAGUCGAGAAUCAUUCACAAUGGGGGAAACCCUGAUGGUGCGACGCCGCGUGGGGGAAUGAAGGUCUUCGGAUUGUAAACCCCUGUCAUGUGGGAGCAAAUUAAAAAGAUAGUACCACAAGAGGAAGAGACGGCUAACUCUGUGCCAGCAGCCGCGGUAAUACAGAGGUCUCAAGCGUUGUUCGGAAUCACUGGGGGUAAAGCGUGCGUAGGCUGUUUCGUAAGUCGUGUGUGAAAGGCGCGGGCUCAACCCGCGGACGGCACAUGAUACUGCGAGACUAGAGUAGUGGAGGGGGAACCGGAAUUCUCGGUGUAGCAGUGAAAUGCGUAGAUAUCGAGAGGAACACUCGUGGCGAAGGCGGGUUCCUGGACAUUAACUGACGCUGAGGCACGAAGGCCAGGGGAGCGAAAGGGAUUAGAUACCCCGGUAGUC